UACGGGGGGGGCAAGCGUUGUUCGGAAUUACUGGGCGUAAAGGGCUCGUAGGCGGCCAACUAAGUCGGAUGUGAAAUCCCCAGGCUUAACCUGGGAACUGCAUCCGAUACUGGAUGGCUUGAAUCCGGGAGAGGGAUGCGGAAUUCCAGGUGUAGCGGUGAAAUGCGUAGAUAUCAGGAAGAACACCCGUGGCGAAGGCGGUUCUCUGGGACGGUACUGACGCUGAGACGCGAAAGCGUGGGGAGCGAACAGG
rnacentral:rRNA from 1 species